rnacentral:rRNA from 1 species
GAUGAACGCUGGCGGCGUGCCUAAUACAUGCAAGUCGAGCGGACGGACGCGGAUCUUGCUUCUCUGAUGUUAGCGGCGGACGGGUGUGUAACACGUGUAUAACCUACCUAUAAGACUGGGAUAACUUCGGGAAACCGGAUCUAAUACCGUAGAAUAUUCUGAAGCGCAGUGUUCGAAGGUAAAAGACGGUCUUGGUGGCUCUUCUCGCUGGAUCCCCGCUGCAUUAGGUAGUUGGUCAGGUAACGGCCUACCAAGGCAAGGAUGCAUAGCCGACCGGUGAGGGUGGUCGGCCACACUGGAGCUGAGACACGGUCCAGACUCCUACGGGAGGCAGCAGUAGGGAAUCUUCCGCAAUGGGCGAAAGCCUGACGGAGCAACGCCGAGUGAGUGAUGACGGUCCUCGGAUCGUAAAACUCUGUUACUAGGGAAGAACAUAUGUGUAAGUAACUGUGCACAGCUUGACGGUAAUUAAUCAGAAAGCCACGGCUAACUACGUG